rnacentral:rRNA from 1 species
GGGUAGUUUGACUGGGGCGGUCUCCUCCCAAAGAGUAACGGAGGAGCACGAAGGUUAGCUAAUCCUGGUCGGACAUCAGGAGGUUAGUGCAAUGGCAUAAGCUAGCUUGACUGCGAGCGUGACGGCGCGAGCAGGUGCGAAAGCAGGUCAUAGUGAUCCGGUGGUUCUGAAUGGAAGGGCCAUCGCUCAACGGAUAAAAGGUACUCCGGGGAUAACAGGCUGAUACCGCCCAAGAGUUCAUAUCGACGGCGGUGUUUGGCACCUCGAUGUCGGCUCAUCACAUCCUGGGGCUGAAGUAGGUCCCAAGGGUAUGGCUGUUCGCCAUUUAAAGUGGUACGCGAGCUGGGUUUAGAACGUCGUGAGACAGUUCGGUCCCUAUCUGCCGUGGGCGCUGGAGAAUUGAGGGGGGCUGCUCCUAGUACGAGAGGACCGGAGUGGACGCAUCACUGGUGUUCGGGUUGUCAUGCCAAUGGCAUUGCCCGGUAGCUAAAUGCGGAAAAGAUAAGUGCUGAAAGCAUCUAAGCACGAAACUUGCCCCGAGAUGAGUUCUCCCUGACUCCUUGAGAGUCCUGAAGGAACGUUGAAGACGACGACGUUGAUAGGUCGGGUGUGUAAGCGUAGCGAUACGUUGAGCUAACCGAUACUAAUGAACCGUGAGGCUUAACCUUACAACGCCGAAG